rnacentral:lncRNA from 1 species
AAGAUGUGCUCUCUGAGAAAUUGUGAAAGUACAUUGGUUACAAUGGGUAUUAUUUUAACGGACGAGGUUUACAACAACCAAUAUUCAGAUAUUAGCAGUUUAGCUUCCCAAAGACUUAAAGAAAAAAUAAGACAUUCGAUGCAAAAUAUGUACAAUCGCCAUAAAAAUAAUGUGACAUUUGUAAUCACAAUGCAUUCCAUCAAAGUCGUUCAACCAUAAUCAGUAAAUAUGGAAGCUCUAGUAUGAUCAACAUUAGGUAUGGAAGCUUUGCUGUGGUCAACAUUACAUAUGGAAGCUCUGGUGUGGUCAACAUUACGUAUGAAAGCUCUGCUGUGCUCUUAAAUUUAACUUUAGGACUUUGAUUAGGCUGAGGCAUUUGUGUGGUUUUUGCGUGCUCGUUGUUUGUUUUUUUACAGCACUGAAAAUUUUAUUU